rnacentral:lncRNA from 1 species
ACAGGGCUGGGGCAAUGCUGAUGAAAGGCAAAUUCCUGAGAGAAAAAUCACCCAAACUACCUCAUUACCAAGUUCCUCCAAGAUGGCCGCCCCUGAGGAGAAUCAUCAACUGGGCUUUACGGAAGAGAGAAAUCCAAACGACCAUCAGCAACAAAUGAAAGACUGAAGUUGAAAGGCAAGUCUUCAGAUUUGGAGUAAGAGCUUGAAAAGAAAAAUGAAAAAAGAAUCCUGGGGAUGACCAGCAUUUAGUGGGGUAAGGAAGAAGAGAAAAGCAGCAAGUAAAGGAUAAAAGUUUCAAGAUUGUCAAGAAUGACAAGUUGGACUUGGUCUAGUUACUUCCACAGCAGCAGGAGGAACAUGUGUGUGACUCAGGAUAACUGGGGAAGCCUUGGCUAGGCUUUCCUCAUGUCAACCUACCACUCAAAGGGAGAAAACCUCCUGAUCAGAGGAGCCCAGAACCCAGGAAAUCCAUAAUUUUUGAAUGCUGGCCGAGGUCUGUGACCUCUGACUGAAUGGUUUCCAAGCUCUGAAUUCCUAGGUAUAACACUUGCUGAAGAAAGGAAAAGCUCUCUGAUUUAGGUGUAAGCAAAACAAUCUAAACAGUAGGAUAAAAUCGUGUUGGAGUGGAGUUCUGUGUGAGCGCUGUCUUUGAACCAAAUCAGUUCCACAACUGACCCUG